UUAGCCCCGUAUUUGUAUGGAGUUGGAUCGUUUGCCUACGUAUGCCGCUAGGGGCGCUGUUCCAACUCUAUACAAAAUUGAGUUA
rfam:Bombyx mori DNA, contig: Bm_scaf786_contig44563, strain: p50T/Dazao, build 2, whole genome shotgun sequence.